GGGUGAAUAGUCUAGUGGUUAGGACGGUUCGUUGUGGCCUGGUUUUCCUCUCCCUUCUUCGUUGGAGAAGAGAACCAAAAUGAAACCGAACAAACCCCGGUUCGAUUCCGGGUUCGCCCA